GGGAAGGUGGUUCAGUGGUAGAGUGCUUGCCUUGCAUGCAUGAGGUCCUGAGUUUGAUUCCUCAGCCCCA
rnacentral:tRNA from 1 species